GCUCACGUAUGUAGAGAGAUUGAGUCAGUUAUAAUUGUAUUCAUCGAUGUUUAGAAGAAUGGGGGGGACCUCAUAGAAAUUUACAAAAUUCGAACAGCCUGAGACAGGUUAGAUGUAGGAAGGAUGUUCCUGAUGGUGGGAGAGUCCAGAAUGAGGGGGUCAUAAUUGAAUGAGUGGUGUACUGUUUCGGACUGAGAUGAAAAGAAAUAUCUUUACCUAAAAGUGGUGAGUCUUGAAUUCACUACCUUAGAAAGUAGCUGAGGACAAACCAUUAUGUGUUUACAAAAAGGAGGUAGAACUAACUCUUGUGGCUAAAGGGAUGAAAGGGUAUGGGGGCCAGCAGGAUUAGGGUAUUGAGCUCGAUGAUUGGCCAUAAUCAUUAUGAAUGGUGGAGCAGGCUAGAUGGGUCGAAUGGCCUACUCCUGCUCGUACCUCUCAUGUUUCUGAAUAAGCUCUGGCUGACACCACAAAGUGCAAAAAGACAAGACGUGACAGAGACACUGUGAGCAUCCGAGAAGAGACAAAGUGAGUGAGCAUUACGAGAGCAAGUGAGAAGCUCUGAGAAGGAGCCUGGCUGAAUUCAUAGAAUAUGUGCCUAUUCCUGAACACAAAGCAUCCUGGCAGCAGCACCCCAAAAGUGUACCAUUAAUGUUCAGAACCAUUUUAGAUGUAGAUUGGAAAUAUUCCCUUGUGAUGUGAUGAGGCUGGUGUAUACCUGGUGCCAACAUCUCAAGUAGCUUUGACAAAGGGUCAGUUAGACUUGAAACGCCAGCUCUUUUCUCUUCUUACAGAUGCUGCCAGACCUGCCGAGAUUUUCCAGCAUUUCUCUUUUGGUUUCUCAAUAUGGGGUGUGUGCAUGAUCACUGCCAAUGGAGUGUACCUGAGAUGUAAGUGCCUGGUGUCCAAGGUGGAGGGUCGUCGGAGCAAGUGGAGUUUCCAGGAAAUCACUGACUUUGAUGUCGGGAAUUUCUGCUCACAGAGUAGGGAAUUGGAAAUAUUCAUGAGAUGAGUUUAGUGGCACCCAGUGAACCUCCACCAAGAGGCCAGUGUCAGAGAUCUCCAGAGCCACCACCACGUCUGAGAAGGAAGACUUCUUGCAGAAUGAACUGGCAAGGAUUUCCUCUCAGCCUCCACCAGCUCAGUGCCUUUUUCCCUAGUGGGAUGGUUCUAUUUCUAGAUUAGACUCAGGAAUCUAAUCUGGUGAGCACAUCACUCAGCAAUCUUUGCAGCUAGCCAAGAAAGAAAUGCCUUAGGUCCCUGACCUUCAGAGAACUGCUAGAAAUCAGGCAUCUGAUCAACCCCAGGCAGAAGACCUCAUACUCUUGACCAUUAAUGAUGCUGUCAAAAUGCACAGACAGGCACAGGAUCAGCAGGUUUGUCAAAGACAAUCACCAAAGUGGAUUGAAAAAUGGAGCAGGACAUCAGUGUUAUAAUUAUUAGAUUAUUAUGCUGCUAAUAGACUGCUGAAUUGACAUCUCUAACUUCAAAUAAUGGUGAUAUUGCUAAAGUUGAUCUUGCUCUCUGCACCUCCUGUGCAGCCUUAAUCUUGUAGCUUCCCUCUGUCUACACACCCUAUGUCUUUGUUUGCUAUGAUCUCCCUGUACU